GACGUAGGGCGCGAGCGUUGUCCGGAUUUAUUGGGCGUAAAGAGCUCGUAGGCGGCUUGUCGCGUCGAAUGUGAAAACUCGGGGCUCAACUCCGAGCUUGCAUUCGAUACGGGCAGGCUAGAGUUCGGUAGGGGAGACUGGAAUUCCUGGUGUAGCGGUGAAAUGCGCAGAUAUCAGGAGGAACACCGGUGGCGAAGGCGGGUCUCUGGGCCUUACCUGACGCUGAGGAGCGAAAGCAUGGGGAGCAAACAGG
rnacentral:rRNA from 1 species